GACGAACGCUGGCGGCGUGCUUAACACAUGCAAGUCGAACGGAAAGGCCCUGCUUUUGUGGGGUGCUCGAGUGGCGAACGGGUGAGUAACACGUGAGUAACCUGCCCUUGACUUUGGGAUAACUUCAGGAAACUGGGGCUAAUACCGGAUAGGAGCUCCUGCUGCAUGGUGGGGGUUGGAAUGUUUGGGCGGUUGGGGAUGGACUGGCGGGUUAUCAGCUUGUUGGUGGGGUAGUGGCUUACCAAGGCUUUGACGGGUAGCCGGCCUGAGAGGGUGACCGGCCACAUUGGGACUGAGAUACGGACCAGACGCCUACGGGAGGCAGCAGUGGGGAGUAUUGCAGAAUGGGCGGAAGCCUGAUGCAGCAACGCCGCGUGCGGGAUGACGGCCUUCGGGGUGUAAACCGCUUUCGCCUGUGACGAAGCGUGAGUGACGGUAAUGGGUAAAGAAGCAACGGCUAACUACGUG
rnacentral:rRNA from 1 species